UCUAGACAUUCUGUCUCAUACCACUUUAUGAAGUCAAAGCCAGAAGAAAAUAGCAUACUGUUCCUGCAGGCUGCUCCUUCAUAUGACUCUAGAAAGAAGAGGAUCAGGCCAUAUUUCUGUCUGUGUGGGAAGCAGUCUCUCAUGCUGGAAGCUUGCUGCCAGAUCUGGAGGAGUGCCAGUGUCCUUUAGAUCCAGGAGCAGACACAAAACAAUAAAAUAAUUUAUAUAUGGUU